AAAACUCCAUUCCCUCCUUUGUCGAAGCUUCCUCGUCGUCUCUAGCACCUAUUUGCCGAACGGAGAUCAUUGAUUCCAGCCAUUGCCAUCGCACGCCUACAAUAUGAGUUCCUAACAGUUAUUUACCCUCUUGUUUAACUAUCUCUCUCUUUUCAAAUUUUUUUUCUACUAUUUUUGUUUGAGUGAAGUUGGUUGAUGAAAAUUUGAAAGAUGCAUCGUAAGGUAUUUGGCAGAUAACUUGACCAACAACUAUUACCUUUGUGGAAGUGUGCUAGGACCUCAUCCAUGUCCAACGAUGGUGAGAGAGUAUUGGUUUCAAAUUCCCCUCAACAAUGGUGGGUAAAUACUGAUUUCUUGAAAAUUAUAUUUCUUUCAAAUUCCUAUCCCUCUUUAAAAUUGUUACAUUUUAUAGUAUUGGUUGUGAGUUCAAUGAUGGAUUGAUUGAUUAGAUUUUAGUGUUCAUCUUUGCGUCAUUGUAAGUAUGGAGAAAUUAAAGAAACAUAGAGACAUUAAUAUAAGUUUGGAUCUGAAUAUUUUUGCACAAUUAUUAUGUUUGUUUUUUUUAUUCUUUAAGUUGAUUUUUGUGUAUAUGGAUAUAAAGAAAUGCAUGCCAUGUGUUUGAUAUAAUGCCCAAAAGAAAGAUGACACCUUCAAUUGUUUUUUUUUUU